rnacentral:rRNA from 1 species
CGCGCAGGCGGUCGUUCAAGUCGAGUGUGAAAGCCCCCGGCUCAACUGGGGAGGGUCAUUCGAUACUGAUCGACUCGAAGACAGGAGAGGGUAGUGGAAUUCCCGGUGUAGUGGUGAAAUGCGUAGAUAUCGGGAGGAACACCAGUGGCGAAGGCGACUACCUGGCCUGUUCUUGACGCUGAGGCGCGAAAGCUAGGGGAGCAAACG